UCCAGACUCCUACGGGAGGCAGCAGUGAGGAAUAUUGGUCAAUGGCCGAGAGGCUGAACCAGCCAAGUCGCGUGAGGGAAGACGGCCCUACGGGUUGUAAACCUCUUUUGUCAGGGAGCAAAGUCACCCACGUGUGGGUGUUGGAGAGUACCUGAAGAAAAAGCAUCGGCUAACUCCGUGCCAGCAGCCGCGGUAAUACGGAGGAUGCGAGCGUUAUCCGGAUUUAUUGGGUUUAAAGGGUGCGUAGGCGGAAUAUCAAGUCAGCGGUAAAAAUUCGGGGCUCAACCCCGUCGUGCCGUUGAAACUGAUGUUCUUGAGUGGGCGAGAAGUAUGCGGAAUGCGUGGUGUAGCGGUGAAAUGCAUAGAUAUCACGCAGAACUCCGAUUGCGAAGGCAGCAUACCGGCGCCCAACUGACGCUGAAGCACGAAAGCGUGGGUAUCGAACAGGAUUAGAUACCCCAGUAAAA
rnacentral:rRNA from 1 species